GAACAGAAUGUUCACAAAAUAUUGAUAUUUAUUCCUGAAAGUUAUUAAAAAUAGAAUUUUAAAAAUUGAUCUUUCCCAUUUUAUAUAGGAAACAAAAGUUUAAGAGCUAGAAUUGCUAUCUAAAGUCCUCUCUUGCUUUGAAAUGAAAUAUGUUGCUUGGAUUAUGAGUGAGAAAACACAUUUAUUGAGCAUUUAUUUCAUGUCUGACAUGAAUAUACACUUUUCACCUAGGAUACUUCUUAUAGCUUUCCCAUAUUAUCACUGGUUUAAUCCAGUGAAAGGUUAUUUCUCUUUUACAUGGCCAUGCAAGUUACUAGAAGACUUUACUCACUGUAUCUAUUUGAAGAUCCAUGUGGAAAAAAGCUUUCAAGGUCAUAACUAAGAAGACAACAUGGAGAAUUGAGUCCCAGUUUGUCACACUUCACAAAUCACUGCUGCUUACAUUUAGAAGCAAGUCCCAAGGUUAAACCUGUUGUCAAAACAGCAGCAACAACAACAACAACAAUGCAACCGUGUGUCAAGAAGUGAAAAAUAAGAGACACUAUAGAAGAGGUGCUGCACUGCCCAAGUGUACAGAAACGUGGGCAGGGAGGAAUCACUAAAGGAAUGAAGACAAAGAAGUGGAGGUGAGACAAGACAAAGAGGAAGACAAAGAACAGGAGGGGACCUCUGAUCAGCCUGCCUUUUUUAUGUUGAUGAUUGCUUCUUAUUAAUAAAACUGUGUGAGACAUUGGAGCUGAAGAAAGGAUAAAAUUUGAUCCCUCCCUGGUGUUUAAAUUGCUUUUCACACAGCCCCAUGGAGGUUAUCUCAUAGCAUAAUAAACACUACCUCGUAGGAACAGGGAAGUAAGAAGUUUUAACUGGCUGGCCGCGGUGGCUCACGCCUGUAAUCCCAGCACUUUGGGAGGCCAAGGCGGGUGUAUCUCCUGAGGUCAGGAAUUUGAGACCAGCAUGGCCAACAUGGUGAAACCCCAUCUCUACUAAAAAUACAAAAAUUAGCCAGGUGUGGUAGCAGGCACCUGUAAUCCCAGCUACUUGGGAGGCUGAGACAGGAAUCCCUUGAACCCGGGAGGCAGAGGUUGCAGUAAGCCGAGAUCGUGCCACUCCACCCCAGCCUGGGCAACAGAAUGAGA
rnacentral:lncRNA from 1 species